GCUGGAGCUGCGGCAGCGCAG
rnacentral:miRNA from 1 species